rnacentral:misc_RNA from 1 species
UCAAAAAGGGCCGCAAAUUUGAUUGGUUAUUGACAAGUAGUUGAGUUAUGAAUCCGUCACGCUUGGGCAGCGGUUAACUCCAUGUGUUUUUGAAUGGUGGACGUGUUUGAAAGGAUUCCUUCCGCUUUUUUGCUGAGAUUGAAAGUCUCCCCAGUGCACCACUAAAGCCAAAUAACGCAUCGGCAAUAUUUGGAGGCCAGGCACCAUACGGAUUACGAGCUGCUGAGCCAAGCAUCUUCAGACCUAAAGAUCCUACACC